AUGCGCUUCACUUUCUUUUCAUAAGAUGGCGUUAGUAAAUCGUGUAAUGUUUUGCCCGGGAAUGAAGGCUAUGAGCCUUCAAGCCCAGUUCCGACUUCUUCACAUUACUCCAACAUGUACAGCUUUCACUAAGGUUGCUAUGAGUAAAUUUGAUAAAGAACAUUUUAUUCCAUAUGAAAGACUAGCCAAAAAUCUAGAUAUUGUCAAAAGCAGGCUUAAAAGGCCACUGACUCUAUCAGAAAAAGUUCUCUAUUCUCAUCUUGACCAGCCAGAAAUGCAAGACAUUAAGAAAGGAGAAAGCUACUUAAGGUUACGACCUGACAGGGUAGCUAUGCAAGAUGCUACUGCUCAGAUGGCUAUGUUACAGUUUAUCUCCAGUGGCCUUAAGAAGGUAGCAGUGCCAACCACAAUUCAUUGUGAUCACUUAAUUGAAGCUCAAGUUGGAGGAGUUCAAGAUUUGGCACGAGCAAAGGCUCUUCACAAAGAAGUUUACAGUUUUCUUAAAACAGCAGCAGCAAAAUAUGGAGUUGGGUUUUGGAACCCUGGCAGUGGAAUUAUUCAUCAGAUUAUCUUGGAGAACUAUGCUUUUCCAGGGGUGCUGUUAAUUGGUACUGACAGCCACACACCAAAUGGAGGUGGCCUAGGUGGUGUGUGUAUUGGUGUGGGUGGAGCUGAUGCUGUUGAUGUCAUGGCCAACAUUCCAUGGGAACUUAAAUGUCCUAAGGUUAUUGGAGUCCAUCUGACUGGUAAAAUAUCUGGAUGGACCUCUCCUAAAGAUGUGAUCCUUAAGGUAGCUGAUAUUUUAACUGUUAAAGGAGGAACUGGAGCUAUAGUAGAGUAUCAUGGACCUGGAGUUGAAUCAAUAUCUUGUACAGGAAUGGGGACCAUCUGUAACAUGGGUGCUGAAAUUGGAGCUACUACAUCUGUGUUUCCAUACAACCCUAGGAUGAUUGACUACAUGGUAGCUACUGGAAGAAAAGAAAUAGCAGAUUUGGCUGAUCAAUUUUCUUUUCUGCUGACGCCUGACAAGGGAUGUGAGUACGACCAACUUGUAGAAAUCAACUUGGAUGAGUUGGAACCUCAUGUCAAUGGACCCUUCACACCAGACCUUGCUCAUCCUAUCUCUAGGUUUGGGAAGCAAGCCAAAGAAAAUGGAUGGCCAUUGCAAGUUAAAGUUGGUUUAAUUGGGAGCUGUACCAACAGUAGCUAUGAAGACAUGGCUCGAGCCAGUAGUAUAGCACAACAAGCCCUGAACUAUGGACUAAAAUCCAAAUCCAAAUUUACGGUCACCCCAGGCUCUGAACAAAUCCGUGCUACCAUUGAACGUGAUGGCCAGGCUAAAGUAUUGCGAGAAUUUGGAGGUGUUGUAUUAGCUAAUGCUUGUGGACCUUGCAUUGGACAAUGGGAUAGGAAAGAUGUUUCUAAAGGUGUUAAAAACACCAUUGUUUCAUCAUAUAACCGGAACUUCACUGGACGAAACGAUGCCAACCCUGCAACCCAUGCUUUUGUAGCAUCACCUGAACUUGUUACUGCUUUGUCUAUUGCAGGACGACUAGAUUUCAACCCACUAACUGAUGAGUUAACUGGAAGUAAAGGAGAAAGAUUUAAGCUAGAAAGUCCACAAGGUGACACCUUACCAUCUCAAGGGUUUGAUCCAGGUCAGGACACCUAUCAAUUUCCACCAGAAGAUGGGUCUGACAUUGAUGUGGAUGUUGACCCCAAGAGCCAAAGGUUGCAGUUACUUGAGCCAUUUGAUAAGUGGGAUGGCAAGGACCUAACAGACUUGCUAAUCCUGAUAAAGAGCUAUUAAUGAAGAAACGAAUGAGGCUAACUUGGUUAAGAAUCAUUUAACUGGAGAUUAUGCAACUGUUCCUGAUACUGCCAGAAUGUACAAAUCAAGAGGUGUCAAGUGGUGUAUUAUU
rnacentral:misc_RNA from 1 species